GACGAACGCUGGCGGUGUGCUUAACACAUGCAAGUCGAACGGUAAGGCCCUUUCUGGGGUACACGAGUGGCGAACGGGUGAGUAACACGUGAGUAACCUGCCCUCAUCUCUGGUAUAACAGUCGUCAACGGUUGCUAAUACUUGAUAUGAUCUUUCAAGUCAUCUUUUGGGUUGUAAAGAUUUUUUUGGUUGGGGAUGGUCUCGCGGCCUAUCAUCUUGUUGUUGUGGUAGUGGGUCAACAAGGCUUCGACGGGUAGCCGGCCUGAGAGGGCGACCGGCCACAUUGGGACUGAGAUACGGCCCAAACUCCUACGGGAGGCAGCAGUGGGGAAUAUUGCACAAUGGACGGAAGUCUGAUGCAGCAACGCCGCGUGCGGGAUGACGGCCUUCGGGUUGUAAAACGCUUUCAAUUGUGACGAAGCUUUUUGUGACGGUAGCAGUAGAAGAAGCACCGGCUAACUACGUG
rnacentral:rRNA from 1 species